CUGGGAGGCUGUGGGCUGAUGGAUGUCCUGGGCUCGAGUCCCAGCCCUGGCCCUGUUGGGGGCCGAACAAGCCUGGACUGACAGGCUUGGGCUCUCCUCUCUUCACCUGCCAUGACUCCUGCUGCCAGGGACACCAAGACUCAUCUCCUGCUCUACCCUCGCUCCUGCCGGGAUGAUGGGCACCUCUCCUUCCCUCAGACUUUUCAAGCUCAUGCCAGGCCAGGUGAAGAAAUGAGCCAUAGAAAAGGACUUGCCCAAGAUCACACAGCAGGCAGAGCCGGGACAUGAAACUAAGCAUUCUGGCUCCAGAGUCCACGUUUUUAACGCAACGGAAUACUCAGCAAUGGCUGAGUCUACGCCCUGUCGUCCCCUCCUGGGUCUCACAGAAUGGAAAUAAAUGUC
rnacentral:lncRNA from 1 species